rnacentral:tRNA from 1 species
GCCUGAGUGGCUUAGUUGGUUAAGCGUCCGACUUUGGCUCAGGUCAUGAUGUCUCAGUUCAUGAGUUCAAGCCCUAUAUCAGGCU